rnacentral:rRNA from 1 species
UGGGGAAUAUUGCACAAUGGGCGAAAGCCUGAUGCAGCGACGCCGCGUGAGGGAUGACGGCCUUCGGGUUGUAAACCUCUUUCAGCAGGGAAGAAGCGAAAGUGACGGUACCUGCAGAAGAAGCGCCGGCUAACUACGUGCCAGCAGCCGCGGUAAUACGUAGGGCGCAAGCGUUGUCCAGAAUUAUUGGGCGUAAAGAGCUCGUAGGCGGUUAGUCGCGUCUGCUGUGAAAACUCGAGGCUCAACCUCGGGCUUGCAGUGGGUACGGGCUGACUAGAGUGCGGUAGGGGUGACUGGAAUUCCUGGUGUAGCGGUGGAAUGCGCAGAUAUCAGGAGGAACACCGAUGGCGAAGGCAGGUCACUGGGCCGCAACUGACGCUGAGGAGCGAAAGCAUGGGGAGCGAACAGGAUUAGAUACCCUGGUAGUCCAUGCCGUAAACGUUGGGCACUAGGUGUGGGGUCCAUUCCACGGAUUCCGUGCCGCAGCAAACGCAUUAAGUGCCCCGCCUGGGGAGUACGGCCGCAAGGCUAAAACUCAAAUGAAUUGACGGGGUCAUAGCUGUUUCCU